GAUGAAGAACGUAGCGAAAUGCGAUACUUGGUGUGAAUUGCAGAAUCCCGUGAACCAUCGAGUCUUUGAACGCAAGUUGCGCCCGAAGCCAUUAGGCCGAGGGCACGCCUGCCUGGGCAUCACACGUCGUUGCCCCCCCAUCUACUCCUUCGGGAUUGCGGGGGGCGGAUGAUGGCCUCCCGUGCGCCUCGUCGCGCGGUUGGCAUAAAUGCCAAGUCCUCGGCGACGCACGCCACGACAAUCGGUGGUUGCGAAACCUCGGUUGCCCGUCGUGUGCGGUCGUCGCGCAUCGAGGGCUCGAAAAAAUUGCCGGGCUCCGGCUCGGCUUUCAACGCGACCCCAGGUCAGGCGGGGUUACCCGCUGAAUUUAAGCAUAUCAAUAAGCGGUGGA
rnacentral:misc_RNA from 1 species